GGCAGUGUAGUCUAGUGGUUAAGUGCUGGACUCUCAAGCGGGGGGUCGUGGGUUCGAACCCCACCACGGGCA
rnacentral:tRNA from 1 species